rnacentral:rRNA from 1 species
AGUAUAGCAUUAUACCGUGAAACUGCGAAUGGCUCAUUAAAUCAGUUAUCGUUUAUUUGAUAGUACCUUACUACUUGGAUAACCGUGGUAAUUCUAGAGCUAAUACAUGCUAAAAACCCCGACUUCGGGAGGGGUGUAUUUAUUAGAUAAAAAACCAAUGCCCUUCGGGGCUCUUUGGUGAUUCAUAAUAACUUAACGGAUCGCAUGGCCUUGCGCCGGCGACGGUUCAUUCAAAUUUCUGCCCUAUCAACUUUCGAUGGUAAGGUAUUGGCUUACCAUGGUUUCAACGGGUAACGGGGAAUUAGGGUUCGAUUCCGGAGAGGGAGCCUGAGAAACGGCUACCACAUCCAAGGAAGGCAGCAGGCGCGCAAAUUACCCAAUCCCGACACGGGGAGGUAGUGACAAUAAAUACUGAUACAGGGCUCUUUUGGGUCUUGUAAUUGGAAUGAGUACAAUUUAAACCCCUUAACGAGGAACAAUUGGAGGGCAAGUCUGGUGCCAGCAGCCGCGGUAAUUCCAGCUCCAAUAGCGUAUAUUAAAGUUGUUGCAGUUAAAAAGCUCGUAGUUGAAACUUGGGCCUGGCUGGCCGGUCCGCCUCACCGCGUGUACUGGUCCGGCCGGGCCUUUCCUUCUGGAGAGCCUCAUGCCCUUCACUGGGUGUGUUGGGGAACCAGGACUUUUACUUUGAAAAAAUUAGAGUGUUCAAAGCAGGCCUUUGCUCGAAUACGUUAGCAUGGAAUAAUAGAAUAGGACGUGCGAUCCUAUUUUGUUGGUUUCUAGGACCGCCGUAAUGAUUAAUAGGGAUAGUCGGGGGCAUCAGUAUUCAAUUGUCAGAGGUGAAAUUCUUGGAUUUAUUGAAGACUAACUACUGCGAAAGCAUUUGCCAAGGAUGUUUUCAUUAAUCAGUGAACGAAAGUUAGGGGAUCGAAGACGAUCAGAUACCGUCGUAGUCUUAACCGUAAACUAUGCCGACUAGGGAUCGGGCGAUGUUAUUAUUUUGACUCGCUCGGCACCUUACGAGAAAUCAAAGUUUUUGGGUUCU